rnacentral:rRNA from 1 species
CGCUUCCUGAAUUUAUUUAAUAGGGAGUCCAACCUGCCCAGUGAAUUCUUUAACGGCCGCGGUAUUUUGACCGUGCAAAGGUAGCAUAAUCAUUUGCCUUAUAAUUGAAGGCUAGUAUGAAUGGUUUAACAAGAUUAUAACUGUCUCUUUAUAACUAAGUAGAACUUUAUAUAUAGGUUAAAAAGCCUAUAUUAAAUUGAUAGACAAGAAGACCCUAUCGAGCUUAAAAAAAUUUAAUAAAAUGAGUAAAUUAUAUAUAAAAGUUUUUUUAUUAAAAAUUUUAGUUGGGGCGACUGAGGAACAAAAAAAACUUCUUUUAAUAAAUAUUUCAUAACAUUUAUUUGAUCCAAUAUUAUAUUGAUUAAAGAAAAUAGUUACCGUAGGGAUAACAGCAUUAUCUUUUUUGAGAGUUCUUAUCGAAAAAAAGGCUUGUGACCUCGAUGUUGGACCAGAAUAUCCUGAAGAUGCAGCAU